UUUGACUAUUCAUAUUAUUUGAUUUUUUUGUGAUUACUAUUUUUAUUGUUACUAGAUGAUAAAACAUAGAUAGUACUUUAUGCGUGACUAAUUUUUUUAAAAUUUUUAUAUGAAAUUUUUAGACAAGAUGAAUGGUUAAA
rnacentral:pre_miRNA from 1 species